rnacentral:rRNA from 1 species
UUCGAUUCUGACAAAUUCAGGGCCUUUUGCGCCUCUCAGGGUACCCGAGUCGACUAUGCUUCGGUCGCUCACCCCCAGUCAAAUGGGCAAGCAGAAAGGGCAAACGGCCUAAUUCUCAAAGGACUGAAACUCCGGUUGAUGCGUGAUCUCAAGCACGCAGCAGGUGCAUGGGUCGACGAGCUUCCAUCAGUCCUUUGGGGAUUGAGGACAACCCCGAACCGAUCGACCGGAAGAACCCCAUUCUUUCUGGUCUACGGAGCCGAGGCAGUCUUGCCGAGUGACCUGCUUCACAACGCUCCCUGA